rnacentral:lncRNA from 1 species
AUUCGGAUGUUCACUCUGCUCACCACCCUUCUCCUGCUGGCCCUGCACACUCAGGCAGAAUCUCCCUAAGGAGGCACCGAGGAGGCUCCAGACCAAGAACAGUUGGUCAAGACGACCAGGACAUUUCUAUAUCCUUUGGAGGGGAUAAAAGCACUGCUCUCCAAAAUGCAGAUGUGAAAUCAGGCUUGACCUGCUAUUGUAGACUCACAGGCUAUGUUAUUGGAGAACGGCACUCUGAGGCCUGCGGAUACCUGGGCCACAUCUUCUGACUCUUCUGCACUAAGAACAAGAACAAUAUG